GGAGAUGGGUCAUAGCUUAGUGGUAGAGCAUCUGCUUUGCAUGCAGAAGGGUCUAAGUUCAAUCCCUGGCAUCUCCA